GAUGAAGAACGUAGCGAAAUGCGAUAAGUAGUGUGAAUUGCAGAAUUCAGUGAAUCAUCGAAUCUUUGAACGCACAUUGCGCCCCUUGGUAUUCCAUGGGGCAUGCCUGUUCGAGCGUCAUUUGUACCUUCAAGCUUUGCUUGGUGUUGGGUGUUUGUCCAUUCUCUUGCAGAGGGACUCGCCUUAAAGUAAUUGGCAGCCAGUGUUUUGGUUUUGAAGCGCAGCACAAGUCGCGAUUCAAAGCUAUACGCCCGCUUCCACAAGCCUUUUUCACUUUUGACCUCGGAUCAGGUAGGGAGACCCGCUGAACUUAAGCAUAUCAAUAAGCGGAGGA
rnacentral:misc_RNA from 1 species